AACGUAGGACACAAGCGUUAUCCGGAGUUACUGGGCGUAAAGGGCGCGUAGGCGGCCACUGCAAGUCGGUUGUGAAAUCUCCGGGCUUAACCCGGAAAGGUCAAUCGAUACUGCAGGGCUAGAGUGCGGUAGGGGAGAUUGGAAUUCCUGGUGUAGCGGUGGAAUGCGCAGAUAUCAGGAGGAACACCAAUGGCGAAGGCAGAUCUCUGGGCCGUAACUGACGCUGAGGAGCGAAAGCAUGGGGAGCGAACAGG
rnacentral:rRNA from 1 species